CACACUGCACGCGCAUCUUCCGCCGCGGGGUGCAGGAGGCGCGUGGGCGGCGGCCGAAGCAGCAGCACCAGCAGUAGUAAGAGCAGCAGCAGCACCAGUAGCAGCAGCAGCUGCAGCACCGCGCGCGACGGCAGCACGUGGCGGCGACGGGGUCUCCCGCUCUGCCGGGCGGGGCGGGACGCGGCACUACGCAGCGGCGUGAGGCGGCGCCGCCAUCUUGGCAGCGGCAGCGCCCGAGCAGACGGGGCUAAGGGGAGCGGGGAAGGGCUUUUUAUCUUCCUCAGGCGGCGUGGAAAAUCAGCUGCGCGUUCGGCGGCAGCAGCCGGCGGAGCUCGAGGGGGCAGCUGGGGUGGGGAAGAGAGGCGGUGUGAGAUACAUGCAGGGGGACCGUGGAGGGCGGGUGAGGGGAGGAGAGAAGCCAGCAGGGGUAACGUACCCAGCAGGUCUGUGAGCUCUGCUCCUUCCCAGGGCCGUCACGCACGCAGGUGCCUCGCAGUUUGGAACUGUCAGUAAAUAAAAUGCAGCCGGCAGGAUACAGUGUGUGUGUACCCCCUGCUUGGAGGUGCUUCCCUUGUUUCUCCUCAGGUCUGUGACCCCCUCCAAUAAAGAUGUGAAGGGAAGAAUUCUGAGUAGGUUAAAAAGCCUCUUUUUUCAAUCAAUUCUCAAGGAAAGGGUAAGAUGAUGUGACACAAAUGUAUGAUCGUGUGCCACAAAUAGAACGUUGUGGGAAGCUUUCCCUUAAACAUAAGCUUUGUCCUAUAUUUUUUCAAACAGUUUAUUUCCUUGCAGUGUAGGUCAUUCUUAACAUUAGGCUAAAUUUAGCUGAAGAUGCACCAACGGCAGAGACAGACUGCCUCAGAAAACAGGCCCACAGUCUCAUUGCAUGGCCUGGUCAGGAGGCUGGAUGGAAAACUAUUUACAUUUUUAUUGGCUUUUUCUCAGGGAGCUUGAUUAAAGGCCACUGAUGAAGACAUUCAAUGGCCUAGGCCUAAGGGUAGGCUCCCAAGGAACGUCCAGCCAGAUGCUCACCCAUCUAGCAAUCUGCCCAUCUACACUACAAUGUUCCAACCUGGAUACAGGUAUGCAGUGGGAGAGUGUGCUGAAAGCCUUGCUGAAGUCAAGUUUGCAGAGAUGUAUCAUGCCACCAGUACCAAGAAGAUAAGCAAGAAGAAAGCUUCUUCGUUACGGAGGUUGCAUUAGGAUAGGUUAUUGUGGCAGGUGUGGUGCUGCCAAGUAGAAACAGAGCCAGAGAUGCUGCAGAAGCUUGAGGCUUUCCUAUGAAUAACCUGGAGGCAAUCUGUGUGGUAUAGGUAAGCCCAGGCUGCCAUCAAUUACAAAAGUUCUGAAGAAGCUCUGCGAGAUGCAUUUGUCAAUGAACUUGCAGCUACAUGGAUGUGUAUGCAACUGCCAAUAAACUUGCAUUAGCUUAACAAAAUAUCUGUCUAUUUAUAU